AGCGAACGCUGGCGGCAGGCCUAACACAUGCAAGUCGAACGGGCUCUUCGGAGCUAGUGGCGGACGGGUGAGUAACACGUGGGAACGUGCCUUUAGGUUCGGAAUAAGCCCGGGAAACUGGGUCUAAUACCGAAUGUGCCCUUCGGGGGAAAGAGUUAUCGCCUUUAGAGCGGCCCGCGUCUGAUUAGCUUGUUGGUGAGGUAAUGGCUCACCAAGGCGACGAUCAGUAGCUGGUCUGAGAGGAUGACCAGCCACAUUGGGACUGAGACACGGCCCAAACUCCUACGGGAGGCAGCAGUGGGGAAUCUUGCGCAAUGGGCGAAAGCCUGACGCAGCCAUGCCGCGUGGAUGAUGAAGGUCUUAGGAUUGUAAAAUCCUUUCACCGGUGAAGAUAAUGACUGUAGCCGGAGAAGAAGCCCCGGCUAACUUCGUGCCAGCAGCCGCCGCUGUAA
rnacentral:rRNA from 1 species